rnacentral:ncRNA from 2 species
CUCCGUUCUCAGGGCGGGGUGAAACUCCCCACCGGCGGUAAGGGGCCUCGGCCCCAAGCCCGCGAGCGCCUCGGCGGCCUUCCGCCCCGAGGGUCAGCAGAUCUGGUGCAACUCCAGAGCCGACGGUCAUAGUCCGGAUGAAAGAGAACGGCA